ensembl:lincRNA Gm1720 predicted gene 1720
GAGAAACGUGAGGAAGGCUGUUGGUGACUCACCCCCUGGAAGUGAGCAGAGGAACUUCAUCAAGCCGACUAGGUUAGCUGGCCAGUGUGCUCCAAGGAUCUGCUUGUCAUCUUGUCACUGUUGGGCUUACAGAAACUAGAAUGUCUCGCCUGAAAGGCUCUUCUGGUUCAAGACCUGUUUGUACCUUGAUCUCACUCAGCAAUCACUGCUCCCAAGCUCAUUGGCUUUCCCAGCUUCUCCUCUCCUUGAUGAACCCUCUCCUCCUCUCAAGUCAUCGUCCUGUGUGUCAUGGUAUUGUAUAUCCCAGCAUUGCCUCAAAUUCACUGCAUGGUUUGAUUAUGACCUCGAGAAUCUCAUCCUCUACCUCUCUUCCAGAGUGCUGGAAUUACAGAUUAUUUUUAGUUGGAGCCAUUUUCUUCCAUUGCCAUUCUGUCCUCUACAUUUCAGAAGGUAAAACACUAAAGAAGGCCAGAUGGAAGUACUCAAGAAUUCCCUGAAUACAUCAUAUUCAGCAGAUCAAGAAACUAGAGCCUCAGAGGAUGGAGAGAAGACUGGGCUGGAGUCAAUGCUGCAGCGAAACUGCUGAGAGAAUACAGAUGCCAUUAAGGACAUGCUGUUCCAUAGCAGGAGACGAAAGGGGUUCCACACUCUCACCUGUUUAACAAACAUGGGGCAGUAAGUCACCCCUCUUGUUGGAAGCAACAAAUGUCUCUGGAUAAAUCCACAAGGAUAAUUUGGGGAAGGUUAGUAAAUGGACACACUCCUUCUAGAAGCCCGGCUUUUGUGCUAAACUUACUUUCCUGAAGUUAUAUUUUCCAGGGUCUUCUAAGCAUCUCCAUGAGAAAACACCAAAAGGAAACUGUUGCCAAGAUGGUAAGAUGCUUACAGACCCAUUGCCCACUCCGCAUACACAGAAUGAAUUGGGCUGGCUCUUGAAGUCCCAGGGCAUUAGGGCUCCAGGUGUUUCUAAGGUACAGUCACCUUGUGAUGAUUACUAUUGAGUGUCCACUUGACAGGGUCGAGAAUCAUCUACAAGAUAAACUUCCAGGCUUACAUGUUAGGCUCUUUCUGGACUGGAGAAAUGAAGGUGGGAAGACUCAUUCUAAACAUGGGUAGAUCAUCCCAUAGGUUGAGGUUCUGGACUGAAUAAAAAGGAGAAAGACAACUUAGCAGCAGCAUUCAGCUUCCCCACCUCCCUACUGUGGACACAAUGUGACCAGCUGCCUAGUUCUUCUGGUUGCCACAACUUCUAUGAAUUGUACCCUUAACCUAUAAAUAAACCCUGCCUCCCU